GACGAACGCUGGCGGCGUGCUUAACACAUGCAAGUCGAGCGAUGAAGAAGAGAAACGCGAACUUCGGUUCAAAUUUCACUUCGGAUUAGUGGCAGACGGGUGAGUAACGCGUGAGCAACCUACCUCUUACAAAGGGAUAGCCUCGGGAAACCGUGAUUAAUACCAUAUGACACAUUCAUAAGGCAUCUUAAGAAUGUUAAAGCUACGGCGGUAAGAGAUGGGCUCGCGUCCCAUUAGCUAGUUGGUGAGGUAACGGCCCACCAAGGCGACGAUGGGUAACCGGCCUGAGAGGGUGAACGGUCACAUUGGAACUGAGACACGGUCCAAACUCCUACGGGAGGCAGCAGUGGGGAAUAUUGCACAAUGGAGGGAACUCUGAUGCAGCGACGCCGCGUGAGCGAUGAAGGAAUUCGUUUCGUAAAGCUCUGUUCUAUGGGAAGAAAAGGACUGUACCAUAGGAGAAAGCCCCGGCUAAAUACGUG
rnacentral:rRNA from 1 species